rnacentral:rRNA from 1 species
AACGAACGCUGGCGGCGCGCCUAACACAUGCAAGUCGAACGAGAAGGCGUAGCAAUACGCUUGUAGAGUGGCGAACGGGUGAGUAAUACGUGGGUGACCUACCCUCGAGUGGGGAAUAACCCGCCGAAAGGCGGGCUAAUGCCGCGUACGCUUCCGUCCUCACGGGGACGGAAGGAAAGCUGUACCGUGGGUACGGCGCUCAAGGAUGGGCUCACGUCCUAUCAGCUUGUUGGUAGGUAACGCCUACCAAGGCUACGACGGUAGCUGGUCUGAGAGGACGAUCAGCCACACUGGCACUGCGACACGGGCCAGACUCCUACGGGAGGCAGCAGUGAGGAAUAUUGCGCAAUGGGCGAAAGCCUGACGCAGCGACGCCGCGUGGGGAUGAAGGUCUUCGGAUUGUAAA